ACUAACAGCCGUAUUCAUAAACAGUUAGAGCAUUGAUCAUCAGUUGCUGAUAACCGGAUGUCACAAAACGUGAUUCAUAAACACUUUUUAGCGCUAAACAGUUGAUCAUCUCUUUAUUAAAUCCUCGGAAAGUUACGGAGCCGAGGACCCUUCUUUAUCUGUUUAUUAUCUGCUAUUUUACAAGAUGGCGGUCACAAAACAGCUGAUUUUGGCAAGAGUCACAAGAGCAAGAGGAAAGAGUACGUUUUGGUUAAAAUUCCAAAUGUGAAUGAAAAACAACUUGAAUAUGUGCAAUUAAUUACGUAUUAGAUAUCUGGAUAUAGUACGAAAAUGGCGCGAAACCUAAAUAUCCCGUUUUUUAUAAGUUGUUUAUGUGAUUUUGUGUAUGGUGAUUUUCGUUUAACCAAAAUAUCGAUGGCAACAGAAUUCUAUGAUCGCGUAGUCGGAAAAAUGCAUCAUAAACGGAGCUAGUUCCUCCCUCACAGCUAUUAGGCGUUUGGAGAAAUAGGUAAAAGAAGUGUGCACUCUGUCAGUCUGAUAAAGUAAUGAAAAAUCUGAAGAAGUCACCGGUAUAUGCAGUCAUUGCAUAAGCAGUUUGCUCAAUAUUGGCUUUGAGCAUAACGAUUUGGCCUCCAGGUUUCUUGCUGAUUUCCUGCUGGGACUUGCAGUGUACGGAGUCAGUUACACUUCUCCGACCAAUAUUCACAGCUGUUCGCAGGCCACAGCUUUUCUUCCAAAGCCUGGAGUUAUUCAACAGUAACAGUGGCUAAAGAUGGUACUUUCAGGAUCUGAAAAGAUGCAAUAAUUUGAAUAAAAGUAUUUUUGUAUUCAACAAUUUUCUUUAAUUUUUAGCUUAUGAUGUAGUUAUGGUAAACUAAGUAUCAUUUGAAGCUAUAGACAGAGAUCAAUAUGACUUCAUUCAUUACCUAUUAGGUACUAUAAUAUGAUAUCAUUGUACAUUGACCUUGCAAACU